GAUGAACGCUGGCGGCGUGCUUAACACAUGCAAGUCGAACGGUGAAGCAGGAGCUUGCUCUUGUGGAUCAGUGGCGAACGGGUGAGUAACACGUGAGCAACCUGCCCCUGGCUCUGGGAUAAGCGCUGGAAACGGCGACUAAUACUGGAUAUGUGAUGUGACCGCAUGGUCUGCAUCUGGAAGGACUUUCGUUUGGGGAUGGGCUCGCGGCCUAUCAGCUUGUUGGUGAGGUAAUGGAUCAGCAAGGCGUCGCCGGGUAGCCGGCCUGAGAGGGUGACAGGCCAGACUGGAACUGAGACACGGCCCAGACUCCUACGGGAGGCAGCAGUGGGGAAUAGUGCACAAUGGGCGGAAGCCUGAUGGAGCAACGCGGCGUGAGGGAUGACGGCCUUCGGGUUGUAAACCUCUUUUAGCAGGGAAGAAGCGAAAGUGACGGUACCUGCAGAAAAAGCACCGGCUAACUACGUGCCAGCAGCCGCCGUAA
rnacentral:rRNA from 1 species